rnacentral:lncRNA from 1 species
CAAAUCUACACAUAUUAUUUCUUCCAUUUAAGAGCUCACAAAUGAACACUUUUGGGUUCACGCUUAAAAUAUUGACCCAACGGUAACGUUCUGAACAAUACAUGACAAAAAUGCGCAAUAUAUGACGUUAUCAAUACAGCUAAUAACAUAAAGUAAAACGUACGUUAAUUACUCAUUCAAUAUACUUAACACUAGAAAUAACUUCUGAUAACUUAUAUACACUCUCUUAAUACAAAAAUAAUGAUAUUUCUGUACUUGGAAAUAACAAAUACACACAUUUACAACAAAUGGUAUGUCGUUGUCCAAAGACACAUUUGGUUUCUGGACAAUAACUUUAGAUUAAGGGGGCUCGCGGGUAUAAAUCAUUUUUAUACGACCUCAAAAAUUGAAUUUUUUUUUGUCGCAUAUUGGUAUCACGUUGGCGUCUUUGUCCGAAGACUUGGUUUUCGCACUAUAACUUUAGUUUAAGUAAAUAGAAAUCUAUGAAAUUUUUUCUGCGUUUCGUAAUAUAUCAGAAAAAUAUUGUAUUGCAUGGUUCAUCAAGACUCAAGUCACAUGCAUAAGAAUGACCAAUGGUCAAGGUUUUUUGUCGAGCAUGCAGAAAGCUCGACAUAGAAAUAGUGAGCAGCGGUGGCGUUAGCUAACUUCUAAUAAGCUUUCUAUUUUAGAAGGUGGAAGACCUGAAUGCUUCAUACUUUGUAUACAUAUG